CCUACGGGUGGCUGCAGUGGGGAAUAUUGCACAAUGGGGGAAACCCUGAUGCAGCGACGCCGCGUGCGGGAAGAAGUAUUUCGGUACGUAAAGCUCUAUCAUCAGGGAAGAAAAUGACGGUACCUGACUAAUAAGCCUCGGCUAACUACGUGCCAGCAGCCGCGGUAAUACGUAGGGGGCGAGCGUUAUCCGGAUUUACUGGGUGUAAAGGGUGCGUAGACGGCAGCGCAAGUGUGAAGUGAAAUCCCAUGGCUUAACCAUGGAACUGCUUUGGAAACUGUGCAGCUGGAGUGCCGGAGAGGUAAGCGGAAUUCCUAGUGUAGCGGUGAAAUGCGUAGAUAUUAGGAGGAACACCAGUAGCGAAGGCAGCUUACUGGACUGUAACUGACGUUGAGGCUCGAAAGCGCAGGUAUCGAACAGGAUUAGAUACCCUUGUAGUC
rnacentral:rRNA from 1 species